GUGUGUUCCCUGAGACAGGCUGUAGUUUGCCCACAGAUGUUCUUCAGACCUGGUGUCAGGAAGAGCUCUCUUCUUACAAGCUGAACUUUCCCAAAGGGGAAUGAGCUCCCUUGGGAGAUUGUGCACUUCCUCUCCUUGGAAGACUUCAGUCAAAGGCUGAGUGACCACUGUUUGGUUGUUCUGAAAGUCGGUGAGUCUAACAUCCCUAAAGGAUAACAGUUCCUGCAGCGGAGACCUAGAAAGCUCUGACCUAGGCACUGGAGUAAAAGGACUGAGUAAACUAGAGUGCCUUCCUCCACGGAGCUUCCAGGUCACCCAGGAGGAGUAAAGGCACCAAUGGGCACUUACCAGAAAGAGUCCAAGAUGGCCUCACCUAAUGAGAAUCAGGAUGAGAAAGAAAGCAGAACCAAAUCCAGCAGAGCCAGGGAGAAACAUAGGAACCCAUCACUGGAGCAGUAAUGGAGGAAAAUCCAAGGAGGAAGGGUCUGCAGCAGGGAAUGCUUCAGUGAGGACAUACUGGCCUUCGGCGUGGCUGGCAGAAAUCUGGGAUCGUGGCUCCCUCCGACCAGGUAUGAUUUCCAGAAUAUGAAUCAAAAGCACAAUGGGAGAAGCCUGUGACUCAGCUGUUCAACAUCUCAUUGCCUGAAAGGCCCUGAGUGCCAUUUGAAGUGGUAAGCACCCUCCUAGGCCUCCUUCUCCCCCCUCCCAAGGAUAGAG
rnacentral:lncRNA from 1 species